GACGAACGCUGGCGGCGUGCUUAACACAUGCAAGUCGAACGGAAAGGCCCUGCUUUUGUGGGGUGCUCGAGUGGCGAACGGGUGAGUAACACGUGAGUAACCUGCCCUUGACUUUGGGAUAACUUCAGGAAACUGGGGCUAAUACCGGAUAGGAGCUCCUGCUGCAUGGUGGGGGUUGGAAAGUUUCGGCGGUUGGGGAUGGACUCGCGGCUUAUCAGCUUGUUGGUGGGGUAGUGGCUUACCAAGGCUUUGACGGGUAGCCGGCCUGAGAGGGUGACCGGCGACAAUGGGACUACGAUACGGCCCAGACUCCUACGGGAGGCAGCAGUGGGGAAUAUUGCACAAUGGGCGGAAGCCUGAUGCAGCGACGCCGCGUGCGGGAUGACGGCCUUCGGGUUGUAAACCGCUUUCGCCUGUGACGAAGCGUGAGUGACGGUAAUGGGUAAAGAAGCACCGGCUAACUACGUG
rnacentral:rRNA from 1 species